rnacentral:lncRNA from 1 species
CCCUGCGUUGCCCAGCGCAACACCGCCCUCCCCUGCGCCGCCCAGCGCAGCGCCACCCUUCCCUCAUCCGCCCCCCGCAGCAUCCGCGUAGGGCAGGUCAGCGUACGGCUAGGGGGCCGCAGGGGAGGGCGGCGUUGGGCUUGGGGGGGCGCAGGGUAGGGUUUUCUAGCGCGGCCCCUUACCUCGCACAUCCUCUCGCUCCUUUCGCUGCCAACGAGACGGCCACCCAGUGCGGGUUUGCUGCUGAUGCAGUCCAUCUGACAAAAGGGGGGAAAGGGGGGCUGGGGGAUGUUGUUAUGUUAUACAGGAGGCCUGUACCAGGUAGAAUAAUGCUGUGUAACGCAAGCAAAAUAUUGCAGGGCCUGAGUGCUUGCUUUGUUUUGAGGGUUUGUAGCCUGGAUUUGUCGAUACGGCGGUUGGGGGAUUGCACGAGAUACUUGUAUGGGUGCGGUGCGGAGCUCGCAUGUGCACACGGAGCAAUACACACCUUUUUACGCUAUAGAUUUCUUCUCGCCGCGCACAUGUGUGUUGACUCAGUAUGUAUCAAAUUAACGCUUGUCAUGGCGACGUCGUGCUGCGUUGGGAUUUGCAGCCCAUGAUUGGACUGACGAGGUGGGAGCGCGGGAUGCGAAGCAGAGCAGGGGCAAGCUUGUUUGUUUCCAUUAUUCAUGAUUUUAUAUCUAUGUGUGAGAUGAUGUCUCUGGUCGCGUCGCAGUUUGUUCGCUGGUGGUUAGAAUCGUUGUACGAGCCGUUGCAUGAGCCGUUGUCAGUGCCGCUCUGAGUGUUGUUGUCAUUGCCGACGGCUUUUUGGACAUUAAAGAUGCUGUAAUCAAGUAUAUAUUGAGCAUUUCGCACCUCAUAUGCAGUGCUGCUUGAUGAAACACAGUUUGCCAGGCGGAUGUUGUUCGAUGGUGUGUCCGGACAGUAGCCGCCCGUGGCUGUGCGGUCUCUUGUAAAGGAGAGGCAGCACCAUACCCCAGGUCAUGUCGUCAAAACAUUGACACGUCUACAUUCGCAUCGCUCGCUUUAGUCGGUGGAGGUGCUUGUGUGGUGUGGACAUGUCACCGAACGUCCAUUGUCGUGCUCCAUUUGAGCACGAAAGCUUUGUUUUGCGCCUCCGUCAAACCUAUAGUUCUGCAUCGUUCCACACGUGCGAANN